GACUAACGCUGGCGGCGUGCCUAACACAUGCAAGUCGAACGGGGCGAAGUCCUCGGACUUCGUUCAGUGGCAGACGGGUGAGUAACACGUAGGUAAUGUACCCUCUCGCUGGGGAUACCUGUCCGAAAGGGCAGUUAAUACCGCAUACGUUCCCGGAGUCCUCGGAUUCUGGGAGGGAAGCUAGGCCGCAAGGUCCGGCACUCGAGGAGGAGCCUGCGUCGCAUCAGCUAGUUGGUGGGGUAACGGCCUACCAAGGCGAAGACGCGUAGCUGGUCUGAGAGGAUGAUCAGCCACACUGGGACUGAGACACGGCCCAGACUCCUACGGGAGGCAGCAGUGGGGAAUAUUGGACAAUGGGCGCAAGCCUGAUCCAGCCACGCCGCGUGAGUGAUGAAGGCCUUCGGGUCGUAAAGCUCUGUGGGGAGGGACGAACCGCCGGGCGUGCAUAGCGUCCGGCAUGACGGUACCUCCUUAGCAAGCACCGGCUAACUUCGUGCCAGCAGCCGCGGUAACAC
rnacentral:rRNA from 1 species